CUCUUGCUUUCUGCCUUUCAUGGAGUCAGCCACAGGUACUGCUUUGAGUAGCAGGGCUGGCAUGAUGGAAAAGUGAACCUGCAUCAGGAUUUUCAGAGUGUAAAAUACGACUCAAAGCGAGUUGCAAUCUUGGUGUGGAUGGCUCUGUAAAGCUCUCCCUCCAUGGAGCUGCUUCCUUACCCGACGAAGCAUCUGGCGCCCUGACGUUGGACUUUCCCUGUUGAUUUUCAGGGAGAUGAGAUUCACUUCGGGGAUCACUUCGGACGAGCCUUAAAGACUUUUUCCUGCUGGUAACAUUUAAAGUUGUGAUUCCUGAUCCAGUUGCAACUGAAUUGCAGUUCAGUUACAAUCGACAUCUUCGCUAUGGAUAAAGAUUCAUUUGUGAAAAAGAGCUCAAAGGCCAGUUUUGAAUUAAAUCCAGCACUGUUGGACCCAUGAGGAUUUCUACGCUAACUAGCGGAAACUUGCCUUGAAGUAGCAAGAAGCUGGAUUAAAUGCUGAAUUAAAGGUGGUUUGGGGGCUGAUUUCCCAGGUUAGGUGUUUCUAGCUCCCAGGUUAGGUGUUUGCAGUGCAAAUGUCUGCUGGGAGUCCAAUAUUAUAUAAGCAGGGGCAUUUACAGCCAUCAAACUGCAUCUUAGUCAUGUAGGGUGUUGCUUUCUGAAACAGUGUUUCCUGCCAAGAGGGUUUGUUUUCCUCUGCGAUAAGAAACAAUGAUUACCUUGAUUUGUACUUGAGCAUUUUGCAGCAGAGCUGGGAUCUGACGCAGUGCUAAAUCCAUUGUUUUGGCUAACCAAAUGCCAGCCAGGCCCUCUUGGAAACACGCUGCCAGGACUCAGGCCAAGCACGGGCUGUUGGGGUUUGUUUCCAGAAGUGUCUGGUAGGUUUGUUUUAAAAAUACCUCUCUGUAUUUGGAGAGACGCUGCAUUAAAAUCAAGUGGAAGGGAAGGCAGAGAGGGAGGGAUGCAGGGAGCUGUGUGUGCGCCGUUUUGCACCCUUGGAAGAUUUCAAGAACUUCACAGAACGGCAGAUGGCAAAGAGACAGGCCCAGCUGGAAUCUAGUCAGGUCCAUAACACUGCAGCCACUUGCUGAAAGCCCCCACAGCACCAACACAGAUACAAAACAGCAUUUAUUUUAAGUCUUGAGAAGCGUCUGCUCUUGUCAAAUGUAUGCCCAGUGGGUGAAGACUUGGUUUGGAAGUAGCCAUAGUGCCAGUCCCAAGACUUAAAAAA